GGAUGCGAUCAUACCAGCACUAAAGCAGCGGAUCCCAUCAGAACUUCAAAGUUAAGCGUGCUUGGGCGAGAGUAGUACUAGGAUGGGUGACCUCCUGGGAAGUCCUCGUGUUGCAUUCC
rnacentral:rRNA from 1 species